UAUCUAACCAAAUUAAUAUGCUAACCGGAUUUGUCAUAACCGUAUCUUGAUACAACAUUCUAUCUAAAGUUACUAUUUCAUUUUUAUAUAUUUCUUCAGAAAGGGUGAGAAGUUCCAAGAAUGUAACUGUUGUAGAUUAACAGUUUCUUCCCUAUUUGCGAUAAUGGUAGUUUUAGGGCAGACAAAUUUGAGGCGGAUACAACAACAAAUAGUGAGUUAUCGCAAUUGCAUAAUGACGCAAAUGGAGGAGUUACCAUUGUUUCUCGAAAUACUCUCAAAUCCUUGAAGCUUCUGCUUAAGCGCAUGUGACAAAACUUAAUAUUUUUUUUAGGCUCAAAGUUUGGCCCAAGAAUUUUGGUAAGGAACUUUUAAUACCUCUGUUUCUUUGGGCAGUUUAUACAUAUCCGAAUUGAAUACAUUGAUUAAAACCCGUCUUGUUUCUGUACAAAGGAAGAAAUCCCAGACACUCUCCUUUAGAGGAAUUCUUUUCUUGUUGAGUUUUUCAUCUAACAAUGAGAUUAAUUAAGAUGUGUGUUGUAGACACUAUGGUUGGUUCAUCUACGCUUGAGGUAUUAGAUUCUUUGGCUUUUUAUCUUAGUAUUUUCUAGGAAAUAUUUUUGAAUAAGACACCUCCUCAGUGAUGGUCUUGAUAGAUUGCUGAGAGACGCAUCUUUGCAUAUACAGUAUAGUACACGGUUGUCGGGAAUCAUUUGAUUCUUUACUUAUUUGAGGCAGAAUAGAAUCUACAUUAAAAAGCAUUCUAGCAGGUUGUCCAGGAUUAGAUUGCCCAGAUAGUGGAGAUAACACGACAAAACAUAUAUUUGGUGAAGUAGUACUAAUAUGCGGAAGCAAUGGGUGAUGAUCUCCAAAGGCUAUAACUUGAUGGCAACAGAUUGCAGGGCAGAUACAUAUGGAGUUAUAACAACAAAUAUGGACAGUGAUGCCCAAGCAAAUGGCUGAAUUUGAUGCAUCUGUUGAAUUGGAUAAUGGUGAAGUAGCCCGGAUAAAUAAGUAGCCAAGGAAACUGAGCAGAAGAAAGUCAAAUAUGACUAGGUGUAGAAUAAAGAAGAUAAGGCGAUCACGGCAGCUUUAAUUGAAAACAAGGCAAGUGGAAAAGUUUGAAGACCUACCUGUAUGCACUAUACUUUUGUUUUCUCUUCUCUGAAUUUAAUAUUAUUGAUUGAAAAAUCUUUUUUCUAUUGGGGACAUCAACUAUUCAUGUGUUCUAUAACGAGGCCUUUUGAAAGUGCUAACGGAUGAAGAGUCUCUAGCAUUCUCUGUCGUGCUUCUAGGCCAAUAAUUUCAGUGAGUGAAUGCUUUCUUUUCUUAUUUUCUGUAAAUGUCAGAAAUUAUCUAUUUGUAUUUUUAUAAUGAAAAAUUGUCCAGUUCUUCUCUACUCCAAGUAUGGAAAAAGACAUUAAGUUCAUUCGCUUUUUUCAUCAGCUAUUGCUUCGGUGUUUAUGUUUACAUUUUCAGGUAGUUUUCUAUUUCGGGUAUCUUAUUCCUCCCGAGGAUUUUUAUGAUUUGCUAAUAGAAUUUUUUUUUAUGGUUUUCUAAUAAAAUAUUCAUACUGCUGCAUGAUAUUGAACCGAUAUUCCAGCGUAGGUGUUCAUUAUCUCUCUCACAUUGCACCUUGAAUUUGUACUGAUGCAUUCUCUCUGGAUUGUUCAUAAAUCUAAAAAAAUACUUUUUUUUUUUUUUUUGUCUUUCUGUGCCCACCAUCUUACGAUUUCAGCUUGAAAGAUUUGGUUUCUUUGCAUAAUCUAUAGUGCAUUUUUCCUAGCUGCUGGUAUUUAGUAUGCAAGUAUUUAAUCAAUAUUGACAUGAUUUUUGGAUCUACUUCGACCGUGCUCUCUAAGCCAAAUUUUCAAUUUGCUUAACCUAAGAUGAAUAUAGCUGGCUGCUCAGGCCUGAGAGCUCCAGAGGUAUAACUUUUAAAAUUUCAAACGAAUCUUUUGGAAAAGGUGCUUUUAUAUUCUCUCAAAAUGACUCUGUACUAUGAUUGUUUUAACAAUUUCAUAUUGAACUGCCUUUAUGGUUAAACCUCUUGGAACUUGUGAGCAGUUGAAGUGAGGUGCAAAAUUGAGUUGAUUUUUUCGUUGUCAAUCGAAAAGAAUUUGAAGGUUCGUUCCCGUUAUUACUUCUCUACUUCAACAUUUUACAUGAAUCAAUGUUUUAUUGAAAAAUCAUUUAAAAUGGUAAAUAUUUUGAUGUUUUAUAGUUUAUUAUAAGGAAAUAAUUGUCAAAAGUUACUUUGAUGGCUGACUUCUUUUUCAGAUUUGUUUAAAUAAAUUUCAGUUCAUGAUUUUCAUUUUCUUCAGAAUGCAUGUCGGAGUGCUUUUCCCAAAUGAUUAUGUACCUAAAUCCUGUCCUCAGUGGAAAUGAUGGAGUCCGGAGCCUAAAGGGUAUAAAAAUAUACGGUUUUUACCAAAACGGAAUGUCCAAAAAUUAUUAUACCAAAAGGGGUAUAUCGUGGAUCAGCCCACGAUAUACCCCAAAAUAUUUUUUCUGUGUCAGACCACCAAUUCAACGGAAAAAAAAAUUACUUGUAUAACGUGGAGGGAUCCACGUUAUACAAUAUAAAUUGUAUAACGUGGAUCAGUCCACGUUAUACAAGUUAUAAUUGUAUAACGUGGAUCCCUCCACGUUAUACAAGUUAUAUUUUUUUCCUUUGAAAUGAAGAAGGUGAUACAGAACCUUUGUUUAAUUUCAUUUUACUGGGUAUGUUUAUAGGAAAGAGACGAAUUGUUUAACCAUUUCAAGAUGAUCUGAUACUCAAAAUGGCAUUACCUGAUCUAAUGAGGCAAUUCUGGGACGCGUACCAGCUGUUUCAUUAAUUGCAAGGACAAAGUUUUCUGAUCCAAACAGGAUAGACAGUCUAUAAUAGACUAUAGAAUUGGAGUCUUCAUGUAUGGCAAAACUUUCAAGGAUAAAAUGAAUAUUACAUAUGUAAAGUUGGGAGUACCGGCUAUAAAGGAUUUUUGGUACCAGAAGAAGCUAUAACAGGUUGCCCUAAUGGUAAAGAUAGAAGAGAGAAUGGAGCCUGAAAUAAAUUAUUUGAAACUUUUGCUUCAAACAAUAAUGAAUUUGUUACCGAGUAUGUGCAAAAAUAUAACUUGUAUAACGUGGAUCCCUCCACUUUAUACAAGUAAUUUUUUUUUGUUUUUCGUUGAAUUGGUGGUUUGACACAAAAAAUAUUUUGGGGUAUAUCGUGGGCUGAUCCACGAUAUACCCCUUUUGGUAUAAUAAUUUUUGGACAUUCCGUUUUGAUAAAAAUCGUGUAUUUUUAUACCCUUUAGGCUUCGGAUUCGGAAAUGAUGCACCACAUUCAGGAGAGUGCUGUCCAAAGACAGGAGGUAAAUUCAAGCCCCUUUGAAGAGCAUCAGGAUGAUUGAAUUCAAGCACCAUCAAAAUUAGAAUCUUUCAUGGGUUCCAAAGAGUAAACAAAAUUUUGUAAAGAAUAGGAUAGUCAUUAACACCUGAAGGUGUUUCUUGAUUCAACUUGGACUAACCGGUGUGCUUAAAGGUUUAUAUUGUUACAGAAAUUUUCAGUCAAUUAAUAAAG